UACGUCGGGGGCAAGCGUUGUCCGGAUUUAUUGGGCGUAAAGAGCGUGUAGGCGGCUUGGUAGGUCCGCUGUGAAAACUCGAGGCUCAACCUCGAGAUGUCGGCGGAAACCACUUGGCUAGAGUCCGGAAGAGGAGAGUGGAAUUCCUGGUGUAGCGGUGAAAUGCGCAGAUAUCAGGAAGAACACCUAUGGCGAAGGCAGCUCUCUGGGACGGUACUGACGCUGAGACGCGAAAGCGUGGGGAGCGAACAGG
rnacentral:rRNA from 1 species